AGAACGAACGCUGGCGGCAGGCCUCAAACAUGCAAGUCUAGGGGGUGUAGCAAUACAUCACCGGCGGACGGGUGCGUAACACGUGGGAAUAUACCUUUUGGUUCGGAACAACGCAGGGAAACUUGCGCUAAUACCGAAUGUGCCCUUACGGGGAAAGAUUUAUCGCCAAAGGAUUAGCCCGCGUAGGAUUAGCUAGUUGGUGAGGUAAUGGCUCACCAAGGCUCCGAUCCUUAGCUGUUCUGAGAGGAAGAUCAGCCACACUGGGACUGAGACACGGCCCAGACUCCUACGGGAGGCAGCAGUUGGGAAUCUUGGACAAUGGGGGAAACCCUGAUCCAGCCAUGCCGCGUGAGUGAUGAAGGCCUUCGGGUUGUAAAACUCGUUUCGGACGGGACGAUAAUGACGGUACCCGUAGAAGAAGCUCCGGCUAACUUCGUGCCAGCAGCCGC
rnacentral:rRNA from 1 species